rnacentral:rRNA from 1 species
UACAGAGGGGGCAAGCGUUGUUCGGAAUUACGUGGCGUAAAGGGCGCGUAGGCGGCCCGCUAAGUCGAACGUGAAAUCCCCGGGCUUAAACCCGGGAACUGCGUCCGAUACUGGCAGGCUUGGAAUCCGGGAGAGGGAUGUGGAAUUCCUGGGUGUGAUGCGGUGAAAUGACGCAGAGAUCAGGAGGAACACCCGUAGCGAAGGCGGCACUCUGGGCCGAUACUGACACUGAGGAGCGAAAGCGUGGGGAGCGAACAGG